rnacentral:rRNA from 1 species
UACGGAGGGUGCAAGCGUUAUCCGGAUUCACUGGGUUUAAAGGGUGCGUAGGUGGGCAGGUAAGUCAGUGGUGAAAUCUCCGGGCUUAACCCGGAAACUGCCGUUGAUACUAUCUGUCUUGAAUAUAGAGGAGGUGAGCGGAAUAUGUCAUGUAGCGGUGAAAUGCUUAGAUAUGACAUAGAACAUCUAUUGCGAAGGCAGCUCGCUACACUAUUAUUGACACUGAGGCACGAAAGCGUGGGGAUCAAACAGGAUUAGAUACCCUGGUAGUCCACGCCCUAAACGAUGGAUACUCGACAUCAGCGAUAAACAGUUGGUGUCUGAGCGAAAGCAUUAAGUAUCCCACCUGGGAAGUACGACCGCAAGGUUGAA